GCAUCGUUGGUUCAGUGGUAGAAUACAAGCUUGCCAUGUUUGUGAUCCGGGUUCGAUUCCCGGACGAUGCA